ACUACGGGGGGCAGCAGUGAGGAAUAUUGGUCAAUGGGCGCGAGCCUGAACCAGCCAAGUCGCGUGAGGGAUGACGGUCCUACGGAUUGUAAACCUCUUUUGCAGGGGAGCAAGCGUGCGUUCGUGAACGCGCGUCGAGAGUACCCGGAGUACAAGCAUCGGCUAACUCCGUGUCUGCAGCCGCGGUAAUACGGAGGAUGCGAGCGUUAUCCGGAUUGAUUGGGUUUGAAGGGUGCGUAGGCGGGAUGCCAAGUCAGCGGUAAAAAUGCGGUGCUCAACGCCGUCAAGCCGUUGAAACUGGCGUUCUAGAGUGGGCGAGAGGUAUGCGGAAUGCGUGGUGUAGCGGUGAAAUGCAUAGAUAUCACGCAGAACUCCGAUUGCGAAGGCAGCAGACCGGCGCCCUACUGACGCUGAGGCACGAAAGCGUGGGUAUCGAACAGGAUUAGAUACCCCUGUAGUC
rnacentral:rRNA from 1 species